rnacentral:rRNA from 1 species
UACGAAGGGUGCCAGCGUUAAUCGGAAUUACUGGGCGUAAAGCGCGCGUAGGUGGUUCAGUAAGUUGGAAGUGAAAUCCCCGGGCUCAACCUGGGAACUGCUUUCAAAACUGCUGAGCUAGAGUACGGUAGAGGGUGGUGGAAUUUCCUGUGUAGCGGUGAAAUGCGUAGAUAUAGGAAGGAACACCAGUGGCGAAGGCGACCACCUGGACUGAUACUGACACUGAGGUGCGAAAGCGUGGGGAGCAAACAGG